AGAGGCAGCAUCAUGAAGAGGCUAGCGGGCAGUGUGCUGGGGCUUCUGUUUGCCCAGGUUUGCUGUGUGCGAGGGGCGGAUGUGGAGCAGAGUCCCCCCGCCCUGAGUCUCCAGGAGGGAGCCAGCUCCACGCUGCGGUGUAAUUUUUCCAUCUCCAUGCAGAGUGUGCAGUGGUAUCGUCAGAUCCCUGGGGGCCGCCUCAUCCACCUGAUUUCCAUUGCUUCAGGGACAAAGCAGAGUGGAAGAUUAAAUGCCACGACAGUCCCUAAAGACCGCCACAGCUCACUGUACAUUUCCUCUUCCCAGACCACAGACUCAGCCACUUACUUCUGUGCUGUGCAGCACGGUGCUCCCCAGGCAGCUGCAGCCUGUGCACAAACCCUCAGCCGGGCUCAGCCCCUCCUCCAGCCACGGUCACGCUCUCAGGCCGCCACACUGUGUUUACAAUGCUCAGUAUUCCUUACCUACAUUGGGUUGAGUGACCAACAAAAAGAAGAAAAUGACCAGCAGCAGAUGAAACAGAGCCAUCAGUCUUUGACAGUUCAGGAAGGAGAGAUUUCAAUUCUGAACUGUACUAAUGAGAACAGUGCAUUUGACUACUUCCUAUGGUCCCAGAAAUAG